rnacentral:rRNA from 1 species
UGGGGAAUAUUGGACAAUGGGCGAAAGCCUGAUCCAGCCAUGCCGCGUGUGUGAAGAAGGUCUUCGGAUUGUAAAGCACUUUAAGUUGGGAGGAAGGGUUGUAGAUUAAUACUCUGCAAUUUUGACGUUACCGACAGAAUAAGCACCGGCUAACUCUGUGCCAGCAGCCGCGGUAAUACAGAGGGUGCAAGCGUUAAUCGGAAUUACUGGGCGUAAAGCGCGCGUAGGUGGUUUGUUAAGUUGGAUGUGAAAGCCCGGGCUCAACCUGGGAACUGCAUCCAAAACUGGCAAGCUAGAGUACGGUAGAGGGUGGUGGAAUUUCCUGUGUAGCGGUGAAAUGCGUAGAUAUAGGAAGGAACACCAGUGGCGAAGGCGACCACCUGGACUGAUACUGACACUGAGGUGCGAAAGCGUGGGGAGCAAACA